UACGGAGGGUGCAAGCGUUAUCCGGAUUCACUGGGUUUAAAGGGUGCGUAGGUGGGCUUGUAAGUCAGUGGUGAAAUCUCCGUGCUUAACAUGGAAACUGCCAUUGAUACUAUAGGUCUUGAAUUUUCCGGAGGUCAGCGGAAUAUGUCAUGUAGCGGUGAAAUGCUUAGAUAUGACAUAGAACACCGAUUGCGAAGGCAGCUGACUACAGGGAUAUUGACACUGAGGCACGAAAGCUAGGGGAGCAAACAGG
rnacentral:rRNA from 1 species